rnacentral:rRNA from 1 species
UCGGUCGGCCAUACACAUCCUAUGAUCAGAUAUCGUCAGAUCUCAGGAGCUAAGCCGUGUUGAGCCCGGAUAUUACUUGGAUGGGCGUCCGCCUUGCAUACUACAGGUGCUGUAGGCU